rnacentral:rRNA from 1 species
GCAAGUCGAGCGGACUUGUAGGAGCUUGCUCCUGCAGGUUAGCGGCGGACGGGUGAGUAACACGUGGGCAACCUACCUAUAAGACUGGGAUAACUUCGGGAAACCGGAGCUAAUACCGGAUGACACAAAGGAACUCCUGUUCCUUUGUUGAAAGAUGGCUUCGGCUAUCACUUAUAGAUGGGCCCGCGGCGCAUUAGCUAGUUGGUGAGGUAACGGCUCACCAAGGCGACGAUGCGUAGCCGACCUGAGAGGGUGAUCGGCCACACUGGGACUGAGACACGGCCCAGACUCCUACGGGAGGCAGCAGUAGGGAAUCUUCCGCAAUGGACGAAAGUCUGACGGAGCAACGCCGCGUGAACGAUGAAGGCCUUCGGGUCGUAAAGUUCUGUUGUUAGGGAAGAACAAGUGCUAGUUAAAUAAGCUGGCACCUUGACGGUACCUAACCAGAAAGCCACGGCUAACUACGUGCCAGCAGCCGCGGUAAUACGUAGGUGGCAAGCGUUGUCCGGAAUUAUUGGGCGUAAAGCGCGCGCAGGCGGUUUCUUAAGUCUGAUGUGAAAGCCCCCGGCUCAACCGGGGAGGGUCAUUGGAAACUGGGAAACUUGAGUGCAGAAGAGGAAAGUGGAAUUCCAAGUGUAGCGGUGAAAUGCGUAGAGAUUUGGAGGAACACCAGUGGCGAAGGCGACUUUCUGGUCUGUAACUGACGCUGAGGCGCGAAAGCGUG